CCUACGGGAGGCAGCAGUAGGGAAUAUUGCUCAAUGGGGGAAACCCUGAAGCAGCAACGCCGCGUGGAGGAUGACGGUUUUCGGAUUGUAAACUCCUUUUGUUAGAGAAGAUAAUGACGGUAGCUGACGAAUAAGCACCGGCUAACUCCGUGCCAGCAGCCGCGGUAAUACGUAGGGUGCAAGCGUUAUCCGGAAUCACUGGGCGUAAAGAGCGCGUAGGCGGGAUAGCAAGUCAGAUGUGAAAUCCUAGGGCUUAACCAUAGAACUGCAUUUGAAACUGUUAGUCUAGAGUGUGGGAGAGGUAGGUGGAAUUCUUGGUGUAGGGGUAAAAUCCGUAGAGAUCAAGAGGAAUACUCAUUGCGAAGGCGACCUGCUAGAACAUAACUGACGCUGAUGCGCGAAAGCGUGGGGAGCAAACAGGAUUAGAUACCCGGGUAGUC
rnacentral:rRNA from 1 species